rnacentral:rRNA from 1 species
CUUGGUCAUUUAGAGGAAGUAAAAGUCGUAACAAGGGACCGUAGGUGAACCUGCGGAAGGAUCAUUAUUGAAAUUACUGGUGAGGGUUGUAGCUGGCCUUUCGGGGCACGUGCACGCCCGAGCCUUUAAUCCACAUACACCUGUGAACCUAAUGUAAGGGCCCGUAAAAAAGGCCCCUACGUCUCAUCCACCCCCCAUCGUAUGUCUCAUAGAAUGUAAAUCAAUGUCCUCGCCCUAAAAAAGCGUUGAUAAACUUAUACAACUUUCAGCAACGGAUCUCUUGGCUCUCGCAUCGAUGAAGAACGCAGCGAAAUGCGAUAAGUAAUGUGAAUUGCAGAAUUCAGUGAAUCAUCGAAUCUUUGAACGCGCCUUGCGCUCCUUGGUAUUCCGAGGAGCAUGCCUGUUUGAGUGUCAUGAAAUUCUCAACCUACCGGUCUUUGCGGAUCGGUAAGGCUUGGACUUGGAGGCUUGUCGGCCCGUGUGGUCGACUCCUCUCAAAUGCAUUAGCCUGGUUCCUUGCGGAUCGGCUCUCGGUGUGAUAAUUGUCUACGCCGCGACCGUGAAGCGUUUGGCUGGCUUCUAACCGUCUCGAUGGAGACAACUUUCUGACCUCUGACCUCAAAUCAGGUAGGACUACCCGCUGAACUUAAGCAUAUCAAUAAGCGGAGGA